CCCCCUUCCAGUAUCCAGUAGUGGGUAUUCAGUUACUUACUAUUGUGUGUUGGUCGUUUACUGUGAGAAAAUUAGAGUGUUCAAAGCAGGCGUUUGCUUGAAUAGAUUAGCAUGGAAUAAUAAUUGAAGGCUUUCGUGUUCGAUUUGAUUGGUUUGUUCAUGGAAGCAAGGUUAAAAGGAACAGUUGGGGGUAUUCAUAUUCACUAGUUAGAGGUGAAAUUCUCGGAUUUA
rnacentral:rRNA from 1 species